rnacentral:rRNA from 1 species
UCGCCUGUUUAACAAAAACAUGGCCUUUUGAUUAUAAUUUAAGGUUUAGCCUGCCCACUGAAAUUUUAAAUGGCCGCGGUAUUUUGACCGUGCAAAGGUAGCAUAAUAAUUAGUUUUUUAAUUGGAAGCUGGAAUGAAUGGUUGGAUGAGAAAAUAACUGUCUCUUUUUAAUUUUAAAUAUAAUUUUAUUUUUAAGUAAGAAAGCUUAAAUUUUAUUAAAAGACGAGAAGACCCUAUAGAGUUUUAUAUAUUAAUUUAUUUAAUUAUUUUAGAAUUUUUAAUUUGAAUAAAAGAAUUUAUUUAGUUGGGGUGAUUGAAAAAUUAAUAAAACUUUUUCAUAAAUUUUACAUUGAUAUAUGAUUUUUUGAUCCAUUUUUUUUGAUUAUUAGAUUAAAUUACCUUAGGGAUAACAGCGUAAUUCUUUUUGAGAGUUCUAAUUGAUAGAAGGGAUUGCGACCUCGAUGUUGGAUUAAAAUAAAAAUCUGGUGCAGAAGCUAGAAAUUUAGGUCUGUUCGACCUUUAAAAUUUUACGUGAUCUGAGUUCAGACCGGA